UACAGAAGCCUCAAGCGUUACCCGGAAUCACUGGGCGUAAAGGGUGUGUAGGUGGUGUGAUUAGUCGGGCGUUAAAUCCAGGGGCUCAACCUCUGGCUCGCGUUCGAAACGGUCACACUCGAGGAAGUGAGAGGUGUAUGGAACUCACGGUGUAGGGGUGAAAUCCGUUGAUAUCGUGGGGAACACCAAAAGCGAAGGCAGUACACUGGCACUCUCCUGACACUGAAACACGAAAGCGUGGGUAGCGAAUGGG
rnacentral:rRNA from 1 species